rnacentral:rRNA from 1 species
CAGAGUUGAUCAUGGCUCAGGAUGAACGCUAGCUACAGGCUUAACACAUGCAAGUCGAGGGGAAACGACAUCGAAAGCUUGCUUUUGAUGGGCGUCGACCGGCGCACGGGUGAGUAACGCGUAUCCAACCUGCCCAUCACUUGGGGAUAACCUUGCGAAAGUAAGACUAAUACCCAAUGACGUCUCUAGAAGACAUCUGAAAGAGAUUAAAGAUUUAUCGGUGAUGGAUGGGGAUGCGUCUGAUUAGCUUGUUGGCGGGGUAACGGCCCACCAAGGCGACGAUCAGUAGGGGUUCUGAGAGGAGGUCCCCCACAUUGGAACUGAGACACGGUCCAAACUCCUACGGGAGCA